GUGGUGGAGGCCGGCUCGGACAUGGUCUUCCGGUGGACCAUCAACGACAAGCAGUCCCUGACCUUCCAGAACGUGGUCUUCAAUGUCAUUUAUCAGAGCGCGGCGGUCUUCAAGCUCUCACUGACGGCCUCCAACCACGUGAGCAACGUCACCGUGAACUACAACAUCACCGUGGAGCGGAUGAACAGGAUGCAGGGCCUGCGGGUCUCCACAGUGCCGGCCGUGCUGUCCCCCAAUGCCACGCUGGCACUGACGGCGGGCGUGCUGGUGGACUCGGCUGUGGAGGUGGCCUUCCUGUGGACCUUUGGGGAUGGGGAGCAGGCCCUCCACCAGUUCCAGCCUCCGUACAACGAGUCCUUCCCAGUUCCAGACCCCUCGGUGGCCCAGGUGCUGGUGGAGCACAAUGUCACGCACACCUACGCUGCCCCAGCUUCCCCCGCAUCGGAGACCACGUGGUGAGCGUGCAGGGCAAAAACCACGUGAGCUGGGC
rnacentral:lncRNA from 1 species